rnacentral:rRNA from 1 species
UGAAUGUACUUUGAAAGGAAGCACCGGCAAACUUCGUGCCAGCAGCCGCGGUAAUACGAGGGGUGCAAGCGUUGUUCGGAAUCACUGGGCGUAAAGGGAGCGCAGGCGGAGAUGCAAGCAGUCUGUACAAUACCGGGGCCCAACCCCGGACCUGCAGACUGGACUGUUUCUCUUGGAUAGCUCAGGGGCUGGCGGAAUUCCUGGUGUAGCGGUGGAAUGCGUAGAGAUCAGGAAGAACACCGAUGGCGAAGGCAGCCAGCUGGGGGCUUAUCGACGCUCAUGCUCGAAAGUGCGGGUAGCAAACAGGAUUAGAUACCCUG